rnacentral:rRNA from 1 species
GGUUACUGCUAUCGGUGUUCGCCUAAGCCAUGCGAGUCAUAUGUUCGUAAGAACAUGGCGUACUGCUCAGUAACACGUGGAUAACCUGCCCUUGGGUCCGGCAUAACCCCGGGAAACUGGGGAUAAUUCCGGAUAACGCACAUAUGCUGGAAUGCUUUAUGCGUAAAACGGAUUCGUCUGCCCAAGGAUGGGUCUGCGGCCUAUCAGGUAGUAGUGGGUGUAAUGUACCUACUAGCCUACGAUGGGUACGGGUUGUGAGAGCAAGAGCCCGGAGAUGGAUUCUGAGACAUGAAUCCAGGCCCUACGGGGCGCAGCAGGCGCGAAAACUUUACAAUGCGGGAAACCGUGAUAAGGGGACACCGAGUGCCAGCAUCCUAUGCUGGCUGUCCGGGUGUGUAAAAUACACCUGUUAGCAAGGGCCGGGCAAGACCGGUGCCAGCCGCCGCGGUAACACCGGCGGCCCGAGUGGUGAUCGUGAUUAUUGGGUCUAAAGGGUCCGUAGCCGGUUUGGUCAGUCCUCCGGGAAAUCUGACAGCUUAACUGUUAGGCUUUCGGAGGAUACUGCCAGACUUGGAACCGGGAGAGGUAAGAGGUACUACAGGGGUAGGAGUGAAAUCUUGUAAUCCCUGUGGGACCACCUGUGGCGAAGGCGUCUUUCCAGAACGGGUUCGACGGUGAGGGACGAAAGCUGGGGGCACGAACCGGAUUAGAUACCCGGGUAGUCCCAGCCGUAAACGAUGCUCGCUAGGUGUCAGGCAUGGCGCGACCGUGUCUGGUGCCGCAGGGAAGCCGUGAAGCGAGCCACCUGGGAAGUACGGCCGCAAGGCUGAAACUUAA